rnacentral:rRNA from 1 species
AUGAAACCUUUGUUUAGACCUCCCAACACUAAUGUUCAGACAGUUUCUGAUCUCAUUGACAUAGAAAACUGGUCAUGGAGGCAGGAUCUCAUAAGGACAACUUUUAUCGCCCCAGAUGCUGAUGCUAUUCUCAAUGUACCAAUCAGGAGGGGGGGAGGACAGGAUUUUUAUGCUUGGGCCUUUGAACGAUCAGGCAACUACACUGUUAAAUCGGCGUACCAUGCUGUAGUGACUCAAAACGAGCAUUUAGCUCUAGAAGAAGGGACGGCUACCGGUGCUUCAACGGAUGAUAAACAGAUGUGGACAGCAUUGUGGAAACUCAAAGUGAUCCCAAAGGUACGGGUGUUU